GAUUGUGUCCACCGAAAAAUCUCUAAAAUCCAGAAUAGUAUCCUCUGUCGUAGAGUUGAUCUCCAAGAGGUGAAACUUGCCCUCUUUGAUAUGAAACCAGGUAAGUCUCCGGGUCCAGAUGGCCCUAGCCCUACCUUUUUCCAACACUUCUGGGAUAUUCUGAGUCCUCAUCUCUUACAAUUCUGUUCUAACUGUAUUUAAUAUGGUUCCCUCCCUUCCGGAAUUAAUUUCACACAUAUUGUUCUGGUUCCAAAGAAGUCAAAGCCGGAAGUCUUGGGUGAUUUGCGCACUAUUGCUCUUUGUAAUAUUUUGUAUAAAAUGGUUUCCAAGGUUGUUGCCAAUAGAGUUAAGCCCCUCCUUUCCCAGAUUGUUUCUGAGUCUCAAACUGCAUUCAUACCGGGUAGGCUGAUAACUGACAAUGUCAUGGUUGCGUAUGAGAUUAAUCACUACCUGAAAAGGAAACGUCAAGGGAGAGAUGGUUUUGUUGGAAUUAAACUUGACUUGAGUAAAGCCUAUGCCUGUGUGAAUUGGGAUUUUCUUAGAGGGAUUUUAUUAAAGCUGGGAUUCUCCGUCCAGUUCUCCAAUCUCAUAUUUGAAAUGAUUUUAUCUGUGAAUUACUCUAUUCUGUUGUGGAAGGGAUAUUGGCUCUUUUAUUCCUUCUAGAGGACUUCGGCGAGGAGACCCUAUCUCACCCUACUUAUUCAUUCUUGUUCUCGAUGUGUUCCAUUGUUUGAUCCAAAGAAAGGUUAGAGAGGGUCUAGUCCAUGGGGUAUCUGUUGCUAGAAGGGCUCCUAUCAUCACCAAUCUCUAUUUUGCAAAUGAUUGCUACAUUUUCUGCAAAGCUAAUAUUCCUGAAGUGUCUGUGAUUAAGGAGGUCAUUGAUUCUUUCGUUGAGGCCUCAGGUCAAGCCAUUAAUUACUCUAAGUCAACCCUAUCUUUCAGUAUGAAUGUUGAUGCUUUACUUAGAGGGGCUGUCUGUAGGGCUUUGGAUAUGAGAGAGGGUAAUAUGAGUGGUAAUUAUUUGGGUUUCCCUUCUCUAAUUGGUAGAAAUAAGCGGGAAAUUCUUGGAUUUAUUAAAGAAAGAGUUGUGGGAAGAAUUACUAGCUGGACUAACAGAUUCCUAUCCCAGGCUGGGAGGGAAAUUCUUUUAAAAAUGUAGUCCAAGCCAUACCAGCCUACGCCAUGAGUGUUUUCCUCCUUCCACUGGAAAUGAGAAGAGAAAUUGAGAGAGUUAUGAAUACCUAUUGGUGGAACUGCGAAGGGGAAAGAAGCAAAGGUAUUAGAUGGAAAUGGUAGGAUGCUCUUUGUUAUCCAAAGCAGUGUGGUGGGUUAGGGUUUCGGUACAUUCGUGAGUUUAAUAUUGCCAUCCUUGGUAAAGAAGCUUGGAGAGUCAUACAAUACCCGAAUUCGUUAAUGGUCAGACUUUAUAAAGCUAAAUAUUUCCCUCGAUCCUCCUUUUUUGAAGCUCAAAUUGGAGGGAGUCCUUCUUUCAUAUAGAGAAGCUUACUUGAAGCUCAGGAUAUUAUUAGGGACAGUCAUAGAUGGAGAGUGGGUAACGGGUCUUUUAUUCAUGUUUGGGGUGAUCCUUGGCUCCCUAAUACCUCUUCCCCCUACAUUCAUACUCCACUUUUUGGGAAUAACAAUCUGAUUUGGGUUAAUGAUCUGAUGAAUGAUGAAAAAACUGCUUGGAACAUAAGUCUGAUUGAUGAACGCUUUAUCCCUGCAAAUGCUGAUAUGGUUAAAAGCAUUCCUAUUGCUAAUUGUCAGACGGAGGAUAAAAUUGUUUGUAUGGAAGAUGAAAAAGGUGACUACACAGAGAAAAGUUGUUACAAGAAGCUCACUCGUUCAAUGCACGCUCAUCCAACACUGUUUUGGACCAAAGUUUGGAAGCUAACCCUACCUCCAAAAAUUAAAUAAUUCUUAUGGUAGGUAUGCUCUGGCCCUCUCCUAACUUAUGAUAAUCUAAUAGUGAAAAGAGUUCAAGUCCCUAGCCUAUGUCGGUUGUGCAAUCUGGAAGAGGAGACUAGCUUACAUAUUUUUGUUAAUUGCCCGUUAGCUAAGGGAUGUUGGGAGUUAAUUGACAGAUCUUCUCUCCAUAAUUAUGGAUCCUUCCUGGAAUGGCUGGAAUUUAACUUCAACACAUUACCUGAUUCCGACCUUUGCUCUUUGAUCUCUAUCUGCUGGAAAAUUUGGGUUGUUAGGAAUGAGAAAAUCUGGAAUAAUAUCGUUCUCUCCACUCAUGAUGUUGUUUCAGGUGUCCAAGUCUUUCUCUCGGAGUGGCAAUCGGCUAACCAUUGUAGUUAUCAGCAGACCCCAAGUGUUAAUCAAGAUGAUAGGUGGAUUAAACCUCCUGUGGGUUGGGUUAAACUAAACGUUGAUGCAGCAUUAAACUCAGUUAAUAGAAAGAUGGGAUUUGGCUUUGUCUUACGAGAUGAGAAUGGUUCUUUUAUAGCUGCAAAGGAGGUUCCUUGGGAGGGAUUUUUCUCACCAUCAGAAGUUGAGGCUAUAGUAGUUCGAGAGGCUUUGAAGUGGAUCAAAGUCCAUCUUGAUCAGGUCCAGGUUGAGACAGAUUGUCUCAAGGUGGUUCAAGGCAUAGGCAGUUUUUAUUCUUGCUGUUCUUUUGAUUUAAUCACUAAUGACAUUAGAGAAUUAGCUAAGGAUUUUUGUAAUCUUAGCUUUCAUUUUGCUAAAGCGGUCUGCGAACAUGGUUGCCCAUGAGUUAGCUCGGGAAGCCGUGUUUAAGUCUGACUAUGUUUCUUGUUUUUCAGUUCCUUUCGCUCUGUUGCUCACGUCUUUGAGCUAGACUAUUAUUAAUAUAUGAUCGUUUUUAUUUCCAAAAAAAAAAAACUAACUGAAGUUAAACGGAAGGACCAUUGUUGAAACAAAUUCAAUAGUCAAGUGUCUUUUUUGUCCAAAUUAAAAGACGAGAACUAAUUUUAAAAAAUCAACAUAGUCGGGGACCAUUGCUAGAAUUAUCUCUUCAAGGAUUUAUUUUAAAUUCCAAAAAAUAUCCCUUAUUUUUCUUUUUUAGUACUAUGGACUCUCUAUUUAAGAGACCUCAAAUUUGAUAGAGUUACAAUUAUGUCACUUGAUCACAAAGUGGAUUGCAUAUCUUAUUCCUAAAUGCCUAGCUUGCGCAAGGGAAAUCGUUGGAGGAAAGCAGAACGCCUAGCCAGUUGCCACCACUUCCAACCGGAUAACAUCUAUGGGAGAAUCCAAAUAUGCUUAUUUGCUCACUGAAUUUGGACUUUAUCGUCUUAAUAUCCCAGACUUCGAUCCAGCCCACCAACCCCAAUUCAUGCUUGAGUGUGUAGGUGAGGUAUUUCGUGAUAUCAUAACCACAACUAUGGGAAUCUUCAGCCAAGGGCAGGAUGUAUAUUUUUUUGGGGGCAUAAAAGGUACACAUUAUAACAGGAGCCUGUAUUUUUUCAAUCCUCGCAAGGUCAAGGAGAAGGAAUAUCCCAUUAGGGAUACUAAGUUACUUUAGAAAUCAAGUGUUAAGUACGAACCCAUGGAUACUCCUUCUGUGUUACAAGCUAACCAUAAGACUUACUUAUUCUCAGUUUAUCGUCCUAGCUACGGUCCAAUGAAAUCACUCUGCUGUUUUCAGUCCUUUGAUCCAAUCAAAAAUUGCUUUUGCACCCUUCCAACCCCCUCCCUAGAUGAUUCGUUUCUGUGGCGGUAUAAUGAGAUGGGGUAUUUUCUUGUUUAUGAUCAUAUAUACUUGUUUAUCAAAGGAGAGGCAAAGGACAUUCACAAGCUUCAUGCCUUCUCUUUCGACACUAGAUCAUCAAAAUGGAUGGAAGUAGAGUCCUUGUUGAGCAAAUUUGAAGAACUCAAUAUUCCCAUUCCCUAUCGGGCGAUAUAGGGCUCUCUUAUAAGUUUGACUAUAAUACUCAGAUUUUGGUCGCCCUUAAUUAUAGUGAACCUACUGCAUAUCAUGUUCAGAUUAGUGCAGCAGGGAGUUCUCUCCGGCCUAAAUCGUGUAGGUGUUUACUUGAACAUAAUUAUGGGAAUAAUAACUUCUCACACCUACUUGAUAUUGGAAGUGAAAGGUUUUGUGUGAUUUAUUCUGCGGCGUACAGAGAUAUUUUGGUUUAUGCCUUCAAGAUGGAUUUUGCAGUUGAAUAUGAAAACCAGGGAAAGCCAACCUCACUUGCAAUGCCCUCCAUAGAGAUUCUCUGUUCCAAGAAAUUUUGUCCCGCCAUAGUUUCUUGUGUUUGUUUGGCCUAUGCUCCUGCAUCUCAACGUUGUAUUCCCUGGGAUAAAGUUGAGCCCUGGGAUGAAUCUAAUAAAAGGGAGCUAGAAAGGGAUCCAGGUGUUGUGUAUCUCGACGUACACAAGAUUAUUAGUUAGCUCUUUGGCUGGAAACAUAAUGUUAGUUUUGAGCUCUUCUCUUCAUCCACCAUUCUUGUAAUUGUGUUUGUGAUCACGCCAGGUGUAGAUCAGAGGCUUUGUAAGGAGAGAUGAUGAUUUAUCUUUAUGUUGCUAGUGCUCACUGCUCAGUAAUCCCAUACAAGCCAGGGUGGUUUAUCUCUGUUGCCAUAUUUUGUUUUCCAAGAAACAAGCUAGUGGUACAAAAAUGAGCUCUAUUACAUGUAAUACCUAUUUCUAUUCCCUGAUGUGACAAUUAAUGAUUAGUUAUCUCUAUCCUUUGGUUCUCAA